rnacentral:rRNA from 1 species
GACGAACGCUGGCGGCGUGCUUAACACAUGCAAGUCGAACGGAAAGGCCUGCUUUCCCUUGUGGAUUGCGGGUACUCGAGUGGCGAACGGGUGAGUAACACGUGAGUGAUCUGCCCCCAACUUGGGUAUAAGCCUGGGAAACUGGGUCUAAUUCCCGAUAGGACUGCAGGGUGGUGCCUGUGGUGGAAAACGAUUUUCUAGUGGUUGGGGAUGAGCUCGCGGCCUAUCAGCUUGUUGGUGGGGUAAUGGCCUACCAAGGCGGCGACGGGUAGCCGGCCUGAGAGGGUGGACGGCCACAGUGGGACUGAGAUACGGCCCAGACUCCUACGGGAGGCAGCAGUGGGGAAUAUUGCACAAUGGGCGGAAGCCUGAUGCAGCGACGCCGCGUGGGGGAUGACGGCCUUCGGGUUGUAAACUCCUUUCGACCGCGAGGAAGCCACCUGGUUGGAAGGGUGGCGACGGUAGUGGUAGAAGAAGCACCGGCUAACUACGUG